rnacentral:rRNA from 1 species
AGCGAACGCUGGCGGCAGGCUUAACACAUGCAAGUCGAGCGGGCAUCCUUGUGGUGUCAGCGGCAGACGGGUGAGUAACGCGUGGGAACGUGCCCUUCGGUUCGGAAUAACUCAGGGAAACUUGAGCUAAUACCGGAUACGUGCGAGAGCAGAAAGGUUUAUCUGCCGAAGGAUCGGCCCGCGUCUGAUUAGCUAGUUGGUGAGGUUAUGGCUCACCAAGGCGACGAUCAGUAGCUGGUCUGAGAGGAUGAUCAGCCACACUGGGACUGAGACACGGCCCAACUCCCUCCGGAGGGCGGAGUGGGGGAUUAUUGGCCAUGGGGGGCACCCUUGACCCGCCAUGGCGCGUGAGUUGUUGCGGGCCUAGGGUUGGUAAGCCCUUUUCCCCCGGGAGGUUAUUGCCGUACCCGGAGAAAUAGCCCCGGCUAACUUCGUG